rnacentral:rRNA from 1 species
UACGUAGGGGGCAAGCGUUGUCCGGAAUUAUUGGGCGUAAAGAGCGCGUAGGCGGUCCGAUAAGUCGGCUGUGAAAGUCAGGGGCUCAACCCUUGAAAGCCGGCCGAUACUGUCGGACUAGAGUCCGGAAGAGGCAAGUGGAAUUCCCGGUGUAGCGGUGAAAUGCGCAGAUAUCGGGAGGAACACCAAUGGCGAAGGCAGCUUACUACACAAUGAUUGACACUGAGGCACGAAAGCGUGGGGAUCAAACAGG